GCUCAUAUUUAUAAAACUCAGUGCCUCUGUGAAAGAAUUAAUGGAGGUAACUUGACCCCUGAUGGAGUACUCCUUUUAUAUCAGAAAUUGAUAAUGCUUUAAAAAUGCUGCAUCAGACAAACAAGAAAAUAAAUAGUAAGUCAUUUUUAUUAUAUUAAUAUUAAAUUUUAUAUUAAUAAUAUUGCUAAAUAGAUCGAUGUAAAUUGAUUUCAUUAUCUGUAGUAAUAAUGCCAUAUAAUUAUAUCUAUAUUUAGAGAGGACUGUUAUUACUACUAUGAGAAGACGCCUACAACUGCCUCGGCUUGUAUAUACAAUUGGAAGGAGGUUCUUACAAUUUAUCUUGUUUACCAUUUCCAAAUUCAGGGAAUCUCUACUUUAUUGAAAUGACAGCUAGUUAGGCAACUAACUAAUUAGGAGUUUAGUACUUAACAGUAAUGAGUAAAAUAAAAAUCACAAGAUAAGAAUAGAUCCACAGUUAGCUAUACUGGGCAUAUAUACAGAAGAUAGUAAGAAAAUAAAACCCGAAGAUAAUUAUGUAAGGAUAACUUAUUUAGCUAUCAUUUUUAUUUAUU